rnacentral:rRNA from 1 species
AUUGAACGCUGGCGGCAGGCUUAACACAUGCAAGUCGAGCGGUAGCACAGGGGAGCUUGCUCCCUGGGUGACGAGCGGCGGACGGGUGAGGAAUGUCUGGGAAACUGCCUGAUGGAGGGGGAUAACUACUGGCAACGGUAGCUAAUACCGCAUAACGUCGCAAGACCAAAGAGGGGGAGCUAGGUGCCUCUUGCCAGCAGAUGUUCCCAGAUGGGAUUAGCUAGUAGGUGGGGUAAUGGCUCACCUAGGCGACGAUCCCUAGCUGGUCUGAGAGGAUGACCAGCCACACUGGAACUGGGACACGGUCCAGACGCCUACGGGAGGCAGCAGUGGGGAAUAUUGCACAAUGGGCGCAAGCCUGAUGCAGCCAUGCCGCGUGUGUGAAGAAGGCCUUCGGGUUGUAAAGCACUUUCAGCGAGGAGGAAGGUGGUGAACUUAAUACGUUCAUCAAUUGACGUUACUCGCAGAAGAAGCACCGGCUAACUCCGUG